rnacentral:lncRNA from 1 species
AUGUUAUGGUUUUGCAAAAUUUGCGACUUCAGGGCAUCAAAACGUUUAGAGCUCUUAAAGCAUUAUAGGUUAAAACACCUACACAGCAAUCAAGGCCACUCACUACCCUGCUUGUACUCUAACUGUCAUUGUUCGUUUAAAGGUUGGGGUGCUCUUCGCGCACAUUUGUCUAGAGACCAUACACAAAGUGAACAUUUAGGGCAAAAUGUUUUUUCUUGUCUGAUAUGUAAUUCAUGUUUUCACACAGAGAGGCAAUAUUUUGAACAUCUUGGAGCUCAUCUGAAAAAGCACGAAACUGUUAACUGUGUUUUUAAAGAUUGUGACUAUAGUACUAAUAUAUAUUCAACCUUUGCCUCGCAUAAAAGUAGGAAGCACAAUCCUCACUGCCUUGAAGAUUUUAAACAAAUUGUAUUACAAACAUAUUCUUGUCAGGCAACAGAAGACAAUUUGUUGUUAGAAGAAAGUGAAGUUGCAUCUGAAAAACCAUUAGUCAGUGAGAGUGAAGAUGUGGGUAAAGUCAUUGUUGAUCAGCUUUGUUCCUUAUUUCUUAAAUUAGACUGCAUUUUCAAUGUGCCGAGUAGAUGUAUAGAUGAGAUUGUAGACGAGCUUCGGUUUAUUACCUGUACAGCAUCUGCACCCGUUGUAAGUAACGUUGUCCGUGACACGUUAGAAAAAUAUAACUGCACUGUUGAAGAAUUGGCAGUAACAGAUUUGGUAAAUGGCAUUUGUGAGUUAAAUCCUGUAAGUGCAGCCUUAGGUGAAGAAGGUCCUCUUGGCACAGCAUACCAGAGAAAUAAGUAUGUAAAGGAACUUUUCUCUAUUGUUGAACCAUUAGAGUAUAUCCUUGAUGCAAAAGAGGGAAAAACAUUCCAAUAUGUACCAAUUUUGCAGUCCUUGUCACAAAUUUUGAAAAAUAGUGACAUUCAGGAGAAAGUUUUUAGAGAAAGACCUUGUUCUUCUUGUCGAUAUAAUAGUUUUCGUGAUGGUUCCCACUUCCAGGAAAACCAGUUUUUAUCUGGAGAGGAGCUAAGACUUUCAAUACUACUGUACUCUGAUGAUUUUGAAAUAUGUAAUCCGUUAGGAACCUCUCGUAAGAAGCACAAAGUAACCAGUGUUUACUGGGUUUUGGCUGAUAUUCCGUCUGUAUUAAGGUCUACAUUAUCAUCAAUUUAUGUGGCUGUUUUGUGCAAGGCAGAUGACAUAAAGAAAUUUGGCUAUCCUCGAGUGCUAGAGCCAUUGUUAAAUGAUUUGAAAAGCUUUGAAGAAGAGGGACUUUUUGUACCCUGUUUGGGAAAAAUCAUAAAGGGCACAGUAUUUUCUGUGAUUGCUGAUAACCUUGGAGCCCACUCAGUUGGGGGGUUUAUUGAAAGUUUCAGUGCAUCAUACAUUUGCAGAUUUUGUAUUGGAGAGCGGUCCCAGUUUCAGGAGCUUGAAGUCAGAACUGGAGCAUUUCCCAGCAGAACAAAACACCACCAUCAGUUAGAUGUUGAAGCAGCACUGGCUAGUAACACCCAUAGCCAUGGCGUUAAGAGGCACUGUGCCAUUUCAGAAAGGCUGAGUCAUUUUCAUGUGACAACAGGUUACCCACCUGAUAUAUUGCAUGAUUUACUGGAGGGUAUUGUACCUGUAGAACUGGCGUUGUGCUUGGACAUCUUGAUUAAGAAAAAGUAUUUCUCUCUUGAAGAGCUUAACUGCAUCAUCCAGCGGUUUCCAUAUAAGUGGAAAGACAGGACAAACUGUCCCCAAGUUAUACCACCAACAUUUGCCUUGCGUAAAACCAUUGGUGGAAACGCACACGAAAAUUGGUGUCUACUGAGGCUGUUACCAUUUAUGAUUGGCCCCAAAAUACCUGAAGAGGAAGAGACAUGGCAGUUGUUGAUGACACUCAAAGAUGUUGUUGAGUUGGUGAUGUCCCCUGCCCAUACAGAUGAAAGUAUUGGCCACUUAGAUAGCCUAAUUGCUGAGCAUAGAUCUAGAUUUAUCAGUGCUUUUCCUAAGGAGAAAUUGAUUCCAAAACACCAUUUUGUAGAGCAUUAUCCAGGACUUAUUAAAGCUUUUGGCCCUCUAGUGUCCUUAUGGACAAUGAGGUUUGAAGCAAAGCACCACUUCUUUAAGAAGAUAGUGAGACACACUAACUGCUUCCGUAACAUUUUGAAAACUAUGGCAAGAAAACACCAGUGCAUGAUUGCAUACCAUCUCCACGGAUUAAAUGUAAAAAAACGUGCCGUUUCUGUAUCAAGCGUAUCAAGAGUUCCACUACAGGUAGUACAUGAAAACAUACAAGAAUUCAUAUUGCAGAAGUUUCCUGAAGAAGCAGCUGUUCAUUUCACAAGCAAAGUAGAAUUUCAGGGCACCAGUUACGGUAUUGGCAUGAUGCUGGUAUAUAGAUCCACAGGUGGGUUGCCUGACUUUGCAGAAAUACUGCAAAUUAUUGUUGUUCAAGACAGCUUAGUUUUUGUAGUUAAAUUGCAUAGUGCGUGGUACUUUGAACAUUUUAGAUGUUUUAAGCUGGAGUCCACAAGCAUAGUCAAGGUAAUAGACCAGUCAGAACUUGCUGACACACACCCAUUGGCUGCCUAUGCUGUGGAAGGCAAUCGAAUGGUUUCUCUGAAACACCACAUCUGCUUAUCAAACUAG